GGAGAACUGAGGGGGGCUGCUCCUAGUACGAGAGGACCGGAGUGGACGCAUCACUGGUGUUCGGGUUGUCAUGCCAAUGGCACUGCCCGGUAGCUAAAUGCGGAAGAGAUAAGUGCUGAAAGCAUCUAAGUACGAAACUUGCCCCGAGAUGAGUUCUCCCUGAGACUUUAGGUCUCCUGAAGGAACGUUGAAGACGACGACGUUGAUAGGCCGGGUGUGUAAGCGCAGCGAUGCGUUGAGCUAACCGGUACUAAUGAACCGUGAGGCUUAACCUU
rnacentral:rRNA from 1 species